rnacentral:rRNA from 1 species
GAUGAACGCUAGCUACAGGCUUAACACAUGCAAGUCGAGGGGAAACGAUAUUGGAAGCUUGCUUCCGAUAGGCGUCGACCGGCGCACGGGUGAGUAACGCGUCUCCAACCUGCCCAUCACUUGGGGAUAACCUUGCGAAAGUAAGACUAAUACCCAAUGAUAUCACUAGAAGACCCCUGAAAGGGAUUAAAGAUUUAUCGGUGAAGGACGGGAAUGCGUCUGAUUAGCUUGUUGGCGGGGUAACGGCCCACCAAGGCGACGCUCAGUAGGGGUUCUGAGAGGAAGGUCCCCCACAUUGGAACUGAGACACGGUCCAAACUCCUACGGGAGGCAGCAGUGAGGAAUAUUGGUCAAUGGGCGAGAGCCUGAACCAGCCAAGUAGCGUGCAGGAUGACGGCCCUAUGGGUUGUAAACUGCUUUUAUAAGGGAAUAAAGUGGGAGUCGUGACUCCUUUUGCAUGUACCUUAUGAAUAAGGACCGGCUAAUUCCGUGCCAGCCGCCGCGGUAA